UGCUUGUAGUACGUGUUGAUCGUUUGUGAUAUUUUGUCAAAUUUUAGCCACUACAAUUCUAACCAUAGCAUGGUCUGAAUUGGAGUAAUAUUCAAAUUCAUUGCUAUAAACUUUUAAAAUAAGUACCUCCUAUACUAUAUUUUACUUUACUUUAUUGAAAUUGAAAGAGUAUAAAUUAAUGCUGAUGCAGAUUUUUAAGGUCGAUCGUUUAAUCAAUGAUGCUUUUACUAUCUGUCCCUCAAUGCUUCUUCUUCCAUUUUCUCUAAUAGGUGAUUCUACACACUCAGGAGGCCAACGCACUAGAAAAAUUAGCAGAUUCAGUAUCAUUGUUGUUAUUACUGGUGACAUGGGGAUAAAAAAAUUACUUGAAGAAGUUAUAUUCUAAAAGAAAGUUGUGCUGCCUACAAUUUGAGUAGUGGGAAAGAAAAAUCUGUCCUGUACAUGGUUGCUGUCUUUGAAAGAGCGUCUCGAUAAUUUCAGGGUGCUUGGGGGUGAUUCUUUGACUUCUGGAAAGACGUAAGUACUCCUCUUUUAGUUAAUUAGGUAUUUUCUGCAUAGAAGCUGAUACGAGUCAAAUGACCACCUUAGCUUUUGAUGACAUCUUUGAAGGCCAACACCUAAAGGCUCAAGAUUUGGUCACCCCGAGAGCACAAGGAUACGCAAGGAAGGAUCAUUUUGAGCAUGACUUAAAGCAAUCUCGUGUGUGGAAGGUUGCUUGGUUGCCUACAUUGAUGCUAACCCGAAAACCACAAGCCUUGAAGUAUGAACCAUACUCGGUUUUUGAGAGCAUUGAAAAGGCGCCAUUCAUUCAAGUUAUAACAUACCUUGGCUGCCCCUUCAUUAAGGGUAUUUUAUACAUUACAUAUGGUGUAUUUACACACCAUGGCAGCCCCUCUCAUUAAGGGCAAAGUGGUCUUUUUAUCUUCAUUUAUAGUAUAUUAUAAAUAGGCCCCUUUAGUCUUAUUUUCACUAGUUUUGAAUGAUGAAAGAUUGAAACACUUGAAAAUCCUCUCUCUUGAGGCCCCUUUAGUCUUAUUUUCACUAGUUUUGAAUGAUGAAAGAUUGAAACACUUGAAAAUCCUCUCUCUUGAGAGUAGACCACAUUAGUAUAGUCUUAGUUAGGACUUGGAAAAGUCAUCCUUAGUAUAGGGCUUGGAAAAGCCAAUAUUGUUCUUUGCUUAGAAACGGUGGAUCUUGAGGUGAGUCGAUUACCUUGGCGGUUACCGUAAGAGUGUGGUUUUGAUUAUUACAUUCAUUAGGGGUUAGUGUUGAAAUAUACUUGGUUCUUAAUCUUGUAAUAAUUUUGGUCUCACUAUCUAUCUUUAUUUUUUAUGCAAUUUCCUUUGUGUUUGUGUUGAAUCCGUGUCUUGUUUCAUCUUCAUCUCCUCUCUUUAGUUAUAAUUUCAGUUUCUAGCUUUGUUUCCCGUAUCAUUUGGUAUCAGAGCAUGGCUUGAUCUUGUUCCUACAAGAUCAAUCUUGGGCUUGCUUGUUAGAAAAUAAAAAAAAAAGUGUUAAAAACUGAAAA